UUUUUUUUCUUUGUUUUCCUUUUUUUUUUGUUUUUACAAGUACACGGGUUCCAAAAAGAGGAAAAACAAAGAAGACAUAUAUGGCUCAAAAGGAUUAAAAAUUGUGACACCUAUUUGGGAUAGUGAGAAAUGAUAGCCUUCAUCAUCUCGAUCUGAUAAAAGCUUGCGUGAAAGUUCCGUAGUGGAUAUAUAUCAAGCAUAAUAUCUUUUGACUGCAUCUACAUUAAUAGUCAUGUCUGGUACCCGUCAUUCUUCAUCUACCAAAUGCAAGGCCCCCUUUGGUAACACUUUCUUGAUGAUGUAGGGUCCUUGCCAGUUCGGGGCGAACUUUCCUUUAGCUUCUACCUGGUGCGGAAGGAUGCGUUUCAAAAUGAGCUGGCCUACCUCAAAGUGCCUUGGGCACACUUUCUUGUUAUAGGCAUGUACCAUUCAUUGCGGGUAUAAUUGGCCGAAAAACACUGCCUCUAGCCAUUUUUCAUCAAUCAACAUUAGUUGCUCUAAUCGUGUCUUGACCCACUCAGUUUCUUUUAUCUCUGAUUCCACAAUGAUUCGGAGAGAGGGGAUUUUGACUUCAGCCGGUAUUAUAUCUUCAGUUACACAUACCAGCACAUAAGGAGUUGCACCAACGGAUGUGCGAGCAGUCGUGCGAUAUCCUAAAAGAGCAAAAGGCAAUUUUUCAUGCAAAUUGCCUCGACCCUUGUAUCAUCAUCCUGAGAAUCUUCGAGAUACCAAAGCGACAGAUUUGAAAGUGAUGGGCUCCACCCCCUUGGAUGUACAAUUUUAAAUUGCUCGCAUACCUCCUUCAUCGAAUGACUAUUUAGGUUGAUUGUGUUGUCAGUGAUAAUAGUCUACGAGAUACCAAAGCGACAGAUGAUGUUGGAAUGAACAAAGUCUACUACUAAUUUCUUGGUGACCGCUUUGAAAGUGACGGCCUCCACCCACUUGGUGAAGUAAUCAAAAUGAAUAUAUGCCCAUUUGAAUCCUUUGGCUCGAUUGGCCCAAUAACAUCCAUUCCCCAAGCAACAAAAGGCCAAGGAGAGGACAUGGUAUGUAAUUCCGACGGAGGUGAGUGAAUCAGGUUGCCAUGAAUCUGGCAUUGGUGACACUUGCGAACAAAGCUGAAGCGAUCUCGCUCCAUAGUAAGCCAAUAAUACCCUUCCCGCGAAAUCUUCUUUGCCAAAACAUAUCCAUUCAUAUGAGGCCCACAUACCCCUGAAUGCACUUCACUCAUGAUCCGCUCAGCUUCUAUGGCAUCUAUGCAUCUCAACAAGUUCAAAUCUGGGGUCCUUUUGUACAAAAUUUCCCCAUUCAGGAAGAAACCACUGGCGAGCCGCCUUAUAGUUCUAUUUUGAUCUCCCUUGACAUGCUCCAGGUAUUCCCUUAUUUCCAGGAAUUAUUUUCUGUCGUGAUACCAUGGUUCACCAUCUGGUUCUAUCUCAAUUGUAUUGCAGUAACCGUGUUGACUCCAAACUUGGAUUUCUAGUAGACCAAUAUGAGUGUUGCUUGGAUAAGGGAGCAUCGAGGCUAAGGUAGCCAAUGCAUCAGCUAGCUCGUUGUGAAACUUAGGAAUGUAUCUAAACUAGAUGGAUUUGAAUCUUUUUCUUAGGUCUUGCACACAUUAUCUGUAUGGAAUAAGCUUGAUGUCUCGAGUCUCCCAUUCGCCUUGGGCUUGUCGGAUAAGCAAGUCGGAAUCUCCCAUAACCAAUAGUUCAUGCAUAUCCAGAUCAAGGGCCAUUUUUAGACCCAUGAUACAAGCCUCGUAUUCUGCCAUAUUAUUGGUACAGAAUCAUCGAAGUCAUGCCGUUGCAGGAUAAUGUUGUCCAAUAGGUGAGAUGAGGACUGCCCCGAUCCUAACUCCUUUGAUUGGCUCAAUUUCUCUAACUUCUUCAUGACUUCCGAUAUUAAUUGGCUUAGCUUCAUUAAGGUUGGGCUUAAGCUUGUUUUCAAAUUGUUUCAAUUAUCUUUUUAUUUCCUCAACAGCCCCAUCUUCAUCAUAUUCAACCUCUUGAUGUAUUAUUUCAAAAUUAGACAGAUUUUUAAGUUUUGGGCAUGAAUUCCGCAUGCAUGUCAUGUUACUAAAUCUGGCAUUAACAAAACUGAAAUGGAAACAAAUUGACAGGAAUUAGAAAAAAAAAGACACAAAACUUAAUAAGAAACUGAACUGCAUUUCAUUGAAUUUGAAAGGAUAGAAGGGUUAACAUCAAAACAAAAUAAUCAUACCGAGAUGUUUGGAUUACAACCCUGAAAGUUAUCCAAAUACAAAAAAGAAUCUCCAAAAGCAAACUACCAAGACUACUUCCUUGUGGGGAGAGGAGUUGCUUCCCAGUUGAUGAGCAUGGUGUCCGGGCCAAUUAGCUACAAAUUGGCACGACCAGUGCCUUCACUAGCCUAGAUCAUAUUCACUUCAAAAAAUAUCUGGCUGAGACCAUGGCAAAUUUUAUCAAUGUUUUCCUGCACCGAGGAAUUUUGACCCUCUUGGAGUCGUGGCUUGACAAAAGUGUAGAAAAUGUGAGGGAUCGGUUUCUAUAAGACCCACUCACACCUUUUGUGGUGCUUGAUUUUGUCUUCAUCUGCUUUUCUUGGCUUGAAGCCUAAGCCAAAAGUACCCUUGUUACCAAAGGGAGAAAUGGGUUCCGAAAUUCCUUGUGGUGACACCCCCAAUCCUUUUUCUGGAUCAUAACCUUGUCUCAGCAUAAGUGCAGCUACCAUUACAUAUGUGGUAGAAAGACGAGGAUGCAAAAUGGGCUUUCCUUUCUCAACAUGGUCCACAGCAACCAAUUCGAAAACCUGAUAGACAAUGGACUCACUCCCUUCCUUGGCCUCAAUACACAAGAUUAACGUGUCUUUAUAAAUGGAUGAAUCGUCUUCUCUAUGAACAAUAAUUUCUGGCAUGUCAUGUUCGAACUGGAUCACCUGAUACAAGGUGGAUGGCACAGCUCGAGCCAUAUAGAUCCAUGGCCUUCCAAGAAGAUAGCUAUAAGAAGUUUGCAUGUCCACUACUUGGAAUACAAUUUCAAAAUCAAUUGGCCCAAUUGUCAUGGUGAGGCUGAUUUCCCCAAUAGUGUCUCUCGGUGAGCCAUCAAUAGCCCGGAUACGGACAUUGCUGGGUUGGAUUCUGUCUGUAUUGAUAUGUAUGCUUUACAAGGUAAAGAGAGGGCAUAUAUUUACGCUCGAGCCUCCAUCAACCAUGACUCGCUUUACAUAAUUCCCUCACAUUUGACAGUAAUGUGCAAAGCCUUAUUGUGCCCUACUCCCUCCUCAGGGAGUUCAUCAUCAGUAAAGGAGAUUCUUUUCACCUCAAAAAAUAUGUUGGCCAUCUUCUCUAACUGAUUCACUAUGAUCUUCUCUGAGACAUGUGCCUCGUUCAGGAUCUUGAUUAGUACACGAACAUGCUCUUCUGAAUGUAUGAGCAGAGACAGCAUAGAGAUGUAAGCGGGAGUCUUUCUCAAUUGAUCAAUGAUUGAGUAAUCCUGAACUUUCAUGUUUUUCAAAAACUCUUCCAUCUUCAAUGACUUGCUUCUUUAUUGGCAUUUGGCCUUCUCUGAUUUGCUUGGCCUUCCUCAACUCUUAUGGAGAGUAACACCUCCCCGAUCGAGCCAAACCUCCAAUUUUCCCCACUUCUUCUAUGAUUUCCUUUCCUUUGUAUGUCACUGCGGUUUUGUUGUAGGUCUAAGGAAUGGUUUUCGUGCUUGUCACACAGGGUUGCAUGGAAGGUUUGAUUAUGAUCGCCUCUAUUAUACCUUUUGUACCACCUUGAUUCAUCCUCAUGAUGGGGUGGCCUCCCAGGACAUACAACCUUGGGCUUGGAACACUAGAGCGGACUUCCAACCUCGAGAAUUUUGGAACAAAUAAAGUUGCCUUCUCUGAGCUCUGGGCGCCUUUCACAAUCAACGGCACAUCUCGGCUUGGACUUACUUCAAGUCUUGUUCCUUCUUGAAUCGUUCCCACUGUCAUUUAUGCUCCACCAAUCGGCUUGUAUUCUUGAUAUCGGCCAAUUAUUCUUACUAAAAUAAAUAUUUUUCAUAGAUUUUCAAAUUUUUUCUGAUACAAGACUCAAAAACAAAAUUUACAUAAAGACAAAUAUUUAAACAAGACCAGACUCGACUCAAACAGACCUUUUAAGAUAAAAGGUAAAUCAAUAAGACUCAAAAUACCAAAAGACUCUUACAAACUCAAAGGCAACAAAAGAACAAUCAAAGUGGACUGCCAACUAAAAGAAGACUCUGAUCUCUGCAGGAGAAUCCACCAGCAUCACUGUAGUCAAGGUACUUAUUCCUGUGGCUGACCCCCAACAUCGCGGUAUAUCCUCUCUAAGUCUGCAGAUAUGUGACGGGCGACAUUCAAUGAUACUUCUGCAAAUCUCUCAGGUGUCAUUUUCGACCAACUCUUGCAUACUCAGGAGUUAUAUGUGGCUACCUAGAGGAUCUUUCCCUUAAUGUGCUCCUGAGCCAAGUGCAACUCUUGAUUUCGCAGACCACGGGUUUCAGCUAGAUCCAGCGCAUCAUGCUCGCGCUCUAAGGCCAUAUCUCUAUGGCGCCGAAAUUCUAGUGACUCCCCCUCUAACUGAUCGAUCACCUUUUGGUAGUGAUGUCUUUCCAUUUGAAAAUCGUCAAUCUAGCGCUUCUUACUUGACUCAACUCCCCCUAUUGGAUCCCCUACACCUUGGAUUAAUGGAGCAAAACCUCUGAGCUCAUGAUCACGGACCACCUUAAACUGGGCUUCUCUUUCAUCUUGUUACUGAACGGUUGUGACUCUGUUUUUCUGCCUAAUAUGGUCCUUGAGUGCUUUCUUCUCUCGUUCCCACUGAGCUCUCUCUUUCUCAAAAGCAUCAUAUUGUAUAUCCCUAUCCACUUUAACAAUGUCGAGCUCUUCUUGUAGUGCUCCAAAGUUUGAUUCAUAAUCCCUUUUCAUCUCUUCCGUAGCCAGCCCAACUCUGUUUUGAAUCUCAGCCUCCCAAUCAAAUGCAUUCCUUAUGGAUCUUUCUGGCCUUUGCUCCGGGAUCACAUGAUUGUGAAACCAUUCAAGAUACGCGAGGCUCACCUCUCCACGUUCACGAUCAGCUACCAUCUCGUCCAAGUCAGAAAACCUACUACCGAACCAAACCUUUUGUGCAUAUGACUCCCUUAGAAGUUCUUUCCCUUUGAAUUCCCACACAAAUGGACGCAUGUCCUUAACCUAGGGCCUCUUUUGCUCUCUCCCUAGCUGGCGCAUGAUACGUAGGGAUGUAUAGGGUUGGAAACCUAUGAAACCCAUGAGUAUAAAGAACGAGCAAUGUGUCGACAUAUGCAUGACCCUAGCAGAAGGGAACCAAUAGUAGUUCCAAAUGAUUCUAUCAGCAGCCAAUGAACCAAGAAGUGUCCGCAUGCCCUUACCCACUCUGGAAGAUUACAACUCGAGGCCCUGUUUGGGUGACAUCCAAUGUAAUUCAGCCAAUUUUCACUGAAAUUUACUGGUAUUAGAUUUUCUAUGAACCAUAUCUGCAACAGAAUGUUAUAUCACUUGAAGUAAUCUUUGACCUCUUGGAAGCGGGCCAAAGCUCGUAAAAUAUCUCCCAGAAUCGUGAGAAUAAUAGUAUGAUCCUCGCUACUUUGCAGAAAUGAGACAAUCGCAACCAAUCAAAUUCUAGUGCGCCCACCACGUUUUGGAAAGACCAUAAUUCCCAUAAAUAGUAUCAUAAAAGCGAAGAUUCUCAACUCCCUCCAGGCGUCGUAACUUAAUUGGUUGAUGAAUUCUGAGCCAGAGAAGUUCUCAAACCCUUUCACAACCCCAAAUCUGUCAUACAAAUAUUCCAACGGAACCUAACCUUCGUUCUAGCAGCACAUUGGAAUUCGACGGAGGCAUAACUUCUUCAAGAAAUCAUUCACACCAACUUUUCUCGGGGCCGCAGGCUUUUUCCCAUGAUGGUUCCUCCCAAAUCCUAUAAACCCCCCUAAUUCUUACAAUGUAGGCAUCAUUUCACAAUCUUUGAACUUGAAGACAUUGUUCACAGGAUCCCAAAAACCCACUAGGGUCUCGAUUAAAUCUCUAUUAGGCUUAACUUCCAUGAUAUUUGUGAGGAACUUGAGGUGCUUAAAAACUUGAUUAUGUUUCCAUAUGGCAAAACUAGCCCACUAAUUACUGAGACUAGUCGGGGUCUUAUCUCUGAUCAAGAACAUAGGAGGUGUCUCGUCCCUCACCCUUUUCUAACUGCUUCUUUGUUGAGAAUUCAUGGUGAACCUGAGAAUAAAAAAGGGGGUCAGGACUUACCUAAACUAUAUGCAACUUCCGUUUUUUAAUGUAAAAAUAAUUUAGGACUCAACCUAUUUUUCAAUAUUUUUUUGAAAUUACUGGGCGCAAAAGGUGAAAUGAUAACAAGUAGAGGAAAAUGGCUAUCAUUACGGAAACGUCCUUUUGAUACUCCCGAGAGAGGUUCAAAAAGACCGUCUCGGCAAAAACGGCCAAACAUGUGGACAAAAUGAUAAAAAGUACAUAAAAUAAAAAAUUGCUAUUUUACAAAAAUAACCCUUCAUUACUCCCGAGAGAGGUCGAAAGGUUGUCUCGCCAAAUAUGACCCGACAAAACUAGAGAUGAUGGUUAUUUUUAUAAAAACAACCUUUCAGUGCUUCCGUAGAAGGUUUAAGGCUUUCUUUGGAAAAUUAGUCGUAUAGAAAGGCAAAAUGAUAAAAAGCGAACAAAAAUGGACAAAGUAUCCAUUCUUCCAAAAUGGCCCUUUAGUACUUCCAAGGAAGAUUUUUUAAGGUUGUCUCAGAAAAAAAAGACCAAAUAUAAAGGCAACCAGUAAAAAGCAGACAACACAGACGAAAUUUUUAUUUUUACAAAAAUAGCCUUUCAGCACUUCCGUGGAAGGAUUAAGGGUGUCUUGGCAAAAAUAGUCAAACAUAAGGGCAAAAUGGUAAAAAAUAAAAAAAAAUGGAUAAAGUUGCCAUUCUUGCAAAAAUAGCCCUUCAGCACUCCCAAAGAAGAUUUUAAGGUUGUCUCAACGAAAAUGGCCGAAUACAAAGGCAAAUAGUAAAACUCAAACAAAAUAGACGAAAUUGUUAUUUUUACAAAAACAGACUUUCAGCACUUCCGUGGAAGGUUUAAGGCUGUCUCGGCAAAAAUGGUCGAACAUAAGGACAAAACGGAAAAAGGUGACCAAAAUUAGCUAAUUUAUUAUUAUUAUUAUUAUUUUCAAAAAUUUCCGUGCACAAGCGUAAUUAAUAAGCUUCUUUUUUUUUUGGAAAAAUGUGGACCGAACCCAAUGGAGGUUGCCUAUGUAUCUCAUCGGGUAGUGAGAAUCAGACCCACGUAGUUCGAUAAAAUGGACUAUGUUUUCUCUUUUUGAAUUUUAUAAAAAUUAAUCUUUAACACCAUAUGCACUAGACCGCAUAAUUUUUUUAAACGGGCAUUUAUAUAAAAAUCGGGAGCAUGUUCUUUAUUUCUCUUUGUUCAUUCAACUAAUACACCCUAAAGCCGGUCAACAUGCAAGCUUCCCAAAUAAUGUAACAGGUAGCACAUAACAUGAACAUAAUGGUCUCAACAAGGUACCUGUCCUAAAACAGAACCCGGCCCCUGUGCCGAGCCCUACUAAGUCAAAUGCACGUGAUGCAAAUAAAGCGAGCCAACUAGGGAUAUCCGGUAUGAGGUUUGUUCAUCUAGGUUUAAAUCCUGAUAGAGAAGGUAUCUAGACUAGCUUACUCGAGCGGACAACUCGAGCCGAGGAGAGUCAGUGUACCGGUAGCAUUGCUUUCCGGCUUAGCUGGUGGUGCUCCCCGCCUAAAAUAUGUGUGACUAAAAUGCUUCACCGGGUGGCAAGCACCUCGGUUAUCUCAAAGAAAGUGGGUUAUGUCAAACAAAUACCCAAUUUUAAUUUCAAAAAAAACUCAGAGGAGUGCGUGAGAAGACAAUUUAUAUGUACAGUUCAAUAAUAUCAAAACGGUAAAAAGCGGACAAGUGGCACAUUAGGCCCAAAUAAAUCACAAUAUACAAAAUUAAUAACGCCAAAUAAAAGUCAACAUGUACAAGCUCGAAUUAUGGUAAGUCCACAGCAGAGUCGCCAGAGUUGUCACACCCCUUUUUACCCCAAAAGGAUAUAUGUAUUAUGGAUUGUGGGUUAAAGAAUUUUUCCAAUUAAUGUGACAAACUUGAGUAGGGAUUAUUUUAUUUACAGAGUCGCCGCUUGGAAUUAAUUUUUUGGGUGUUCCAAGUCACCUUUUAUUUGAAUCCCUAGUCAAAGGAAGGAUUGGCUCUAUUAUUAUUGGUCUCCGGAAAAAAAGUUCGGGUAAGGAAUUUUAUUGACCGGGGAGAAGAUGUAAGGCAUUCUUCGAGUCCCAUGGUUCUAGCUUGAUCGCUUUAUUGAUUAUAUUUGGCUUAUACUAUUUUUGGAUAAACUGUGUUUUAUUUAUUUAUUAUGUUUUACCUAUGUACGCUUUUAUUUCUUAAUUAUUAAAAAUAUUAAAGAAUAUUUUGAAUAAUAUGAUGUCAUAACCACACUACGCAAGUGAAUGCGUGAUCGAGAUAAAAUUUAUUAACUUUGUCAUAACAGCGCUACGCAAACGAAUCCACAGUCAUGACAGUUAAACCCCAAAUCCCUUUUUAAAUCCAACAAAACAAACUUUAUUUCAACCUAACCAUGAAACUGGGAAACUUUGAUACUAAUAAACAAUUCACCUCAAUAAAUGAUGUAACCGAAACAUGAUAAAAGCUCACUGAAAUCUAAAGCAAAUAAACGAAACAAAGAUUCAAAUAAAAUUCAACAAGGAUAUUUUUAUGUUUGAAGAAUAACAUCAGAGUAGGUUACAAUUUAACUAAGCAAGGCGAUACCAAAGCAAGCUAAUAAAGGCAUGAACACAGUGAACAAAAGAAAUUAGAUUCACAUCUUCAACAUGCUCACCUAAAGUAGAUUAAGAACUUUUAAGAACAAUAUGGUGAGAAAUGGACUUUCAACAACUAGCUAACAAUAAGUAGAGAAUUGUCUUCUAAAAAUGAAAGUUAUAACUACUGCAUAUUUACAUGUUUUUAUACAUGGGUACAACAUUCAUUCUUAAGCAAAGAUCAAGUACGACAUGCUUAAGCCAUCCGGACAAGUUCGAGUCUUCUUAUUACUAUCAAAAAUCUGAAAUACAAAAACGUAGGAAUUACCUGUUUCGCAAAAUAAAAAUACAGCAGUGAAAUGAGCAGAAACGACAGCAAAAACAGCAAUGAAAUAGCGGCAAAUCAUGAGUAAAAGUGUUGAAAACCCAGCAGAAAUGACCAAGAAAAUUUCAGUAGACACUUGAAACUAAUCACUAUUAAUUUCAAGAAUCACCUUAGAGAUCCUUAUUUUUAUCAAAAGGUUUACGGUCACAACCCAAUUUUCACUAUAUAUCGUGAUGGCUCCCAAAGUCGCCGCUAGGCCAGCCAACAUUGAACUACCAGUUUAGUUUCUCAUUCUAAUAUAUUUAAAGUCUUUGAUAUUUAUUUAAUGCGAAAAAAAUAGUAAAUGAGCGUGGUAAUGUAAAGCAUAAACUAAAUGGAGAAGUAAGGUAGUAAAUUAAAUAAUUAAAAACCCUGAGUGUCUACUAGAAUUCCCAAAACUCGGAGUCACAAGUGCACGAGCAUCUAGUAGAAUAUACAAAACUCCCUAAGAACUACUAUCUGAAAUAAAAUAGACGGGAAUGAUAAAAAACAUAACAAGAGAAGGCUCUGGAUGCUGCAGAAUAAAGCAUGAGAAAGCAACUCACCAUUAAGCCUCCGGGUAAUGCGGAUACGCGCCCGGAUGAACUCCAGAUGAGCCUGCCUCAGAACCUGCACAAUAUGUGCAAAAAUGUAGCGUGAGUACAUAAAUAACAUGUACCCAGUAAGUAUCUAAUCUAACCUCGAAGAAGUAGUGACGAGGGGUCGACUUCGACACUUACUAGUGGGAAACAUACAUAAUGUAUAAGAUUAUUUAAUAGGCAUGAAAAACAACAUCAAUAAUGGAAUAAGAGGCAAUAAUUAAAUGACCUUUUAUCAAAAUAACAAUUAAAAGUCCCCAAAUAUUACUUAACAAUCUCAACAAGUAAGGGCUCGACAUAUAAUUAAAAAUCCUCAAGUCAUGAAAGACAUAUCAAGUGUAAUCGAACUUCGAGUGACAACACGCACGAGUUAUGCCGAGGUCGUACGGACCGAUCCAUAAUAAUCGUGUGCAUACACUACCGAGGUCGUACAGACCGAUCCAUGGAUGCUAUAUAUAUAUANNNNNNNNNNNNNNNNNNNNNNNNNNNNNNNNNNNNNNNNNNNNNNNNNNNNNNNNNNNNNNNNNNNNNNNNNNNNNNNNNNNNNNNNNNNNNNNNNNNNNNNNNNNNNNNNNNNNNNNNNNNNNNNNNNNNNNNNNNNNNNNNNNNNNNNNNNNNNNNNNNNNNNNNNNNNNNNNNNNNNNNNNNNNNNNNNNNNNNNNNNNNNNNNNNNNNNNNNNNNNNNNNNNNNNNNNNNNNNNNNNNNNNNNNNNNNNNNNNNNNNNNNNNNNNNNNNNNNNNNNNNNNNNNNNNNNNNNNNNNNNNNNNNNNNNNNNNNNNNNNNNNNNNNNNNNNNNNNNNNNNNNNNNNNNNNNNNNNNNNNNNNNNNNNNNNNNNNNNNNNNNNNNNNNNNNNNNNNNNNNNNNNNNNNNNNNNNNNNNNNNNNNNNNNNNNNNNNNNNNNNNNNNNNNNNNNNNNNNNNNNNNNNNNNNNNNNNNNNNNNNNNNNNNNNNNNNNNNNNNNNNNNNNNNNNNNNNNNNNNGUGUGUGUGUGUGUGUGUGUGUGUGUGUAUAAAUAUUGUCGAGGCAUUCGGUCCGAUUCAUAAGAAUAAGAAACCUUUUCGGAUUUCGAAUUUCAUAUUUACAACUCCGAGGUAAGCCCAUGAAAUGUUAUAAUCGCCAUCAAUAAUUAAAUAUUUCGCCAACUUUCUAAGUAAUGAGGCUCAAUUUAACUUAAUCUUCAACCAUGUUUUCACUUAUUAAUACGAGAAAUUAAACUAGCAAGUUGAUUCCAGAUAGUACAAGUAAUAGCAUAAUAAAGUCCUAUGUCUACCCGGACAUAACAUAAAUUUUAGCUACGCACGAACUUUCGUCACUUCGUGUGUACGUAGCACCCACAAUUAGUAGCAAAUAAUAAUUUAAAUACCUAUAGGGUUAAUUCUCUCUUACAAGGUUAGACAAGAGACUUACUUUGUUCCCAUAUCCACGUUUUGAUCCACAAAUGGCUCUAAAAGCCUCAAGUCGGUGCCGAACAAUCCGAAACCAGCCAAAAGUUGUACAAACUAAUCAAUAAUUUCUCAAAAGUUCGUAAUUUAACUAUUAGAGUGAUUACUCAACCCAAUUUGGAAGGUUCCUAAAAUUCACUCCCAGACCCACGUCCCCGGGUUCCGUAAAUCUUUUAAAUAAAUGUUACCCAUAACCUCACGAACACAAAUAUAUAAUUUUUAUCCAAUUCCAUAAUCAUUUUCGUGGUCUAAUCUCAGUUUUAUCAAAAUCUAGGUUUUUCAACCAAAAUCCUAAUAUUCCCACAAAUUACAUGUUAAAAUCAACCCAUAAUCUAUGUAUUUAACUUACAUUGUAUACAAAUCACUUACCUUCAAUAUCUAGGUGAAAACCCCUCUCCGAGAAACUCUAAAAUCAUCCCACAAUUGAGAGAAAUGAACAAAAUAGCCAAAAACCCGACUUUAAUAAAGUCUCUGCCCAGCUGCCCCUUUUUCGCGAUCGUGAAAAGGGCCUCACGAUCACGAAGGAAAGGCCUGCCCAGGCCCUGAAGCUCCUCUUCAUGAAUGCAACAGGGUCCUCGUGAUCGCAAAGGCUAGGCCAUCCCAAGCAUCGCGAACGCGAAGAGCAAUGACCCACAGACCUCCUGGCCCCAAAUCCUUCUACGUAAACGCGACCAGGCCAUUGCGAACGCGAAGGCCACAAGUCCUGAAGCUUCGCGAAUGCGGCAUCAUGUUCGCGAACGCAUUGAGAAAAAACACCUAAUCCCCAAUUCCUUCUUCGCGAGCGUGAGGGUCCUUUCGCAUUCGUGAAGAAGGAAACCAGAACCAGCACACCAGCAGUUUUGGACAUAGCGUCGGGCGGUCCGAAAUGCACCCGAGCUUCCCGGGGUCCCGUCCAAAUGCACCAAUAAGUCAAUAACCAUAAUACAGACCUGCUCGAACCCUCGAAACACAUAAAAUAACAUCAAAACUAUGAAUCACGUCUCAAAACCAAAUUAAAUCGACUUAUGAACUUCAACUUAUUAACUAACUCUAAACGCGCCGAAUCAUACUUAGACUAUUCGGAAUGAUACCAAAUUUUGUGUACAAGUCAUAAAUCAUCAUACGAAACUAUUUCCAGGCUCAGAAUCCCAAACAUAACUCGAUAACACCAAAUUCUACUCUAAACCAAAUUUAAUGAACUAGAAAACCUUCAAUGAACUAACUUUCAACAUUAAGCGCCGAAAUGUUCUAAGAUCACCUGAAACCCGAUCCGAGCACACGCUCAAGUCCAAAAUCAUAAUACGAAACUAUUGGAACCAUCAAAUCCCAUUUUCGAGGUCGUUUACUCAAAAUAUUUACUCAAGUCAAACUUGGCCAUCAUAGGCCACUAUUAAGGAACCACAACCCUUCCAAACCUAAACCAACCAUCCCCGGAAGUCAUAAAACAGUAAAAGCACAUACGGGAAGUCUUAAUUAGGGGAAUGGGGAUCUGUAAACCAAAAUGACCGAUCGGGUCGUUAUAUUCUCUACCUCUUAAACAAACGUUCUUCCUCGAACGGGUCUAGAAUCAUACCUGGAGUGCUGAAUAAAUGUGGAUAGCUGCUCCAUAUGUCCUCCUCGGUCUCCCAAGUCACUUCCUUGACUGUUUGACCCCUCCACUGGACCUUUACCGCAGAAAUCGUCUUGGACCUAAACUGGCGAACCUGCCUGUCAACAAUAGCAAUUGGCUCCUCCUCGUAACCCAAGCUCUCAUCUAGCUGAAUCGUGUUGUAAUUUAACACGUGCAACCUAUCGCCAUAGUACCUAUGGAGCAUAGACACAUGGAAGACCGGAUGAACUCCCGAUAGACUGGGAGAAAAAGCAAGCUCAUACGCAACCUCCCCAACACAUCUUAACACCUCAAAUGGGCCAAUAAAUCUCGGGCUCACCAUGCCCUUCUUCCUGAGCCUCAUGAUACCCUUCAUCGGCGAGACUUUCAAGAGAACCUUCUCGCCCACCAUAAAUGAUAAAUCACGUGCCUUCUAAUUUGCGUAACUCUUAUGUCUGAACAGUGUUGUCCGAAGCCGCUCCUGAAUCAACUUUACCUUCUCCAAGUCAUCCUUCACUAAAUCGAUGCCAUUAACCUAGCCUCAUCGGGCUCAAACCAUCUGAUGGGUGAACGACAUCGCCGACCAUAAAAAGCCUCAAAUAGAGCCAUCUCGAUGUUGGACUGAUAAUUGUUGUUAUAAGAAAACUCGUCCAAAGGCAACGAUCCCACUGCCCUCCGAAAUUAAUCAUACACGCUCUGAGCAUAUCCUCCAAAAUUUAAACUGUCCACUCCGACUGCCAGUCGGUCUGCGGAUGAAAGGUUGUGGUGAGCUCUACCGAAUGCCCAGCUCACUUUGUACUGCUCUCCAAAAAUGUGAAGUGAACUGAGGGCCUCUAUCUGAAAUGAUGGAAACAAGCAUACCAUGCAACCGGACAAUCUCCUAAAUGUAAAUUUGGGCCAACCUCUCUGAAAAGUACGUAGUCAUAACCGCAAUAAAGUGUGCCGACUUGGUCAGCCUGUCGAAAAUGACCCAAACGGCAUCAAACUUCCUCAACAUCCACGGCAACCCAACUACAAAGUUCAUAGUGAUCUGCUCAUAUUUCCACUCCGGUAUAACUAUAUGUUGGAGUAGGCCACCUAGCUUAUGGUGCUCAUACCUAACUUGCUGGAAAUUUAUUUAGACACCUAGCUAUAUACUCAACUAUGUCCUUCAUCCGCCACCACCAAUAAUGCUGCCUCAGGUCGCGAUACAUCUUUGUAGCACCAGGAUGAAUAGAAUAUCGAGAAAUAUGGAUCUUCUCCCUCAGGCCAUCAACAUUAGGAACACAUAAGCGACCUUGGAGUCAUAGAACACCAUCUUCACCGAUAGUAACCUCCUUGGCACCAUCGCGUAAUACCGUCUCUCUACGAACCAAAAGGUGCGGAUCAUCAUACUGACGAGCCUUGAUUCGCUCAAAUAAUGAAGACUGGGUCACAACACAUGCAAGAACUCGACUGGGCUCUAAGAUAUCCAACCUAACAAGUCUGUUAGCUAAGGACCAGAUGUCCAAAUCCAAUGGCCUCUCCUCUACUAAAAUGAAUGCCAAACUACCCAUACUCUCGGUCUUUCUGCUCAAGGCAUCUGCAACCACAUUUGCCUUUCCUGGAUGAUAAAGGCUGGUGAUAUCAUGGUCCUUCAGUAAUUCAAGCCAUCUGUGCUGCCUCAAAUUAAGAUUCCUCUACUUAAACAAAUGCUACAAGCUACGAUGAUCGGUGUAGACUUCACAGGACACCCCAUAAAGCUAAUGCCUCCAGAUCUUGAAAGCAUGAACUAUCACGGUCAAUGCCAAACCAUGUACGGGGUAAUUCUUCUCGUGGGGCUUCAGCUGACGUGAAGCAUAUGCAAUAACUAGACCCUCAUACAUCACUACACAACCCAGGAUAAUGCAUGAAGCAUCAAAAUACAUAAUAUACAUCCAUGAACCAGAAGGCAACACUAAAACUGGUGAUGUAGUCAGAGCCGUCUUGAGCUUCUGAAAGCUCACCUCGCAAUCAUCGGACCAUCGGAACGGAGCACCCUUCUGGGUCAAUCUAGUCAAAGGUGCUGCAAUAGAUGAGAAGCCCUCCACAAACCGACGAUAAUAACCUGCUAACCACAAGAAACUCCUGAUCUUGAUCGUUAUGGUAGGACGAGGCCAACUCUGAAUGCCUCGAUAUUCCUGGGAUCCACCUUAAUACCCUUACCCGAUACAACAUGCCCCAAGAAUGCCACAAAAUCUAGCCAGAACUCACACUUGGAGAACUUAGCAUAUAGCUUUUGUUCCCGCAACAAAUCUCAAAUGUUGCUCGUGCUUCUCCAUACUACGCAAGUAGAUUAAUAUGUCAUCAAUGAAGACAAUGACGAAUGAAUCGAGAUAUGGCCUGAAUACCUAGUUCAUCAAAUCCAUAAACACCGUCAGGGCGUUGGUCAAGCCGAAAGACAUCACUAGAAACUCAUAGUGGCCAUACCUAGUUCGAAAAGUCGUCUUCGAAACAUCCGAAGCACGAAUCUUUAGCUGAUGAUACCCAGAUCUCAAAUCGAUCUUAGAGAACACCUUGGCACCAUGCAACUGGUCAAACAAAUCAUCAAUACGUGGCAACGGGUACUUGUUCUUAAUGGUAACUUUGUUCAACUAGCGGUAAUCAAUGCACAUCCGCAUACUCCCAUCCUUUUUUUUCACAAAUAACACUGGUGCAACCCAAGGCGACACACUUAGCCUGCCGAACCUCUUUUCUAGCAACUCCUUAAGCUGCUUCUUCAACUCUUUCGGAGCCAUGUGGUAUGGUGGAAUAGAGAUAGGUUGGGUUCCUGGUGCCAAAUCAAUACUGAAAUCGAUAUCACGAUCUGGUGGCAUGCCUGGUAAAUCAGAAGGAAACACAUCGGAGAACUCCCGUACCACGGGCAAUGAAUCAAUCGAGGGAUUCUCUGCAGAAGUAUCCCCAACAUAAGCUACAUAAGCCAAACAACCCUUCUCGUCCAUGUGUCAAGCCUUCAGGAGAGAGAUAACCCGACUAGAUGCACUGAUAGAUCAACCCCUCCACUCCAAUCUAGGCAACUCUGGGGUCGCCAAGGUAACAGUCUUGGCAUGAAAAUCAAGAAUGGCAUGAUAUGGAGACAAUCGGUGCAUGCCCAGGAUGACCUCAAAGUAGGUCAUAUCGAGCAACAGAAGAUUCGCUCUGGUCUCAUAACGACAGAAAGUCACAAUACAGGACUGGUAUACCCGAUCCAUAAUAACAGAAUUGCCCACGGGCAUAGACACAUAAACAUGAGCACCCAAGGACUCACGAGUAACAUCCAGAUAAUGAGACAAUAGAGAAGAAACAUAUGAUAUGUAGACCCUGGAUCGAAUAAUACUGAAGCAUCCCUACCGCAGGCAGAAAUAAUACAUGUGAUCACGGUAUCUAAGGCUACUGCAUCUAAUCUGGCUGGAAAAGCAUAGAACCUAGCUAGAGCGCCACCUGUCUGCCCUCUAUCUCUAGGGCGACCCCUACCCACAUUUCCUCUGCCUCUGGCAGGCCGAACGGCCGGUGUGGCAGUUGGUGCAAUAAUCAUGGGUUGAUGGCCCAGCUGUACUGCUUUGCCGCGAAACCUGGGCAAGAUCUCCUCAUAUGACCGAGCUCCCCGCACUCAUAGCAACUUCUCGAUGCAGAAGAUGACUGGCCCAGAGUCUGACCCUAGGGACCUGAAUACCUGCUGGAAGGGCCCUGAAUAGUCGGUAGACGGUAGGAGCUCUCUAGAAUGGCACUGAAAUAGGGCUGCACUGGUGCACCUCGAGAAGGUGGUGGUGCUGAAUAAGUGGGUAUGAUGGACUGACCCCUCACAAACUGACCUCUGCCCCCAGACGGGGCACCACUGAAUCCUCCAGAAUGUCGAGGCCUCUUCUCCCACGUCGUAUAUAAUCGGCCCUAGGUACGAAUACCCUUCAUCCGCCGAGCUAUCCCCACAACUUGCUCGUAAGGAGUCCCCAUCUCCACCUUUCGGGCCAUAGUAACCUGAAUACCAUAAUGCAAGCCCACAAUAAAUAUCCACACUCUCUCUACAUCGGUGCGGAGUAUCAUAAGUGCAUGGCGGGAUAACUCAGAGAAUCUCGCCUCAUAAUCGGUCACAUACGUCUGACCAUGUUGGAGCCGCUCGAACUGGCCCUGUAGAUCUUCCCUAUGAGAGGGUGGAAUAUAUCUCUCAAGAAAGAGACAUGUGAAUUGAUCCCAAGUCAAUGGAGGCGAACCCCACUGGUCUGCUAAGAAGAUAGGACUGCCUCCAUCUACAGUCCCUGCCCUCCAGCUGAAAUAUGGUGAAGUCCACCCUGUUGGGGGUCCUCAUGUCACUCACCGCCAAAGGCAAAAGGAUGCAGUCUGUUCCAUUUAUCCAAUAACUUAUGCGGCUCGAUGAUUGCAUCUGGUCUGGGCUCUAGUACAGCCGUUGCAACUGGCUGGGCUCCACCCAUAAGUAAUGCACCUGGUGUCUUAUAUACGGCAACAGCGUUCCCUGGAGCCUGAGCGGUAGGGUAUGUUCUCCCCAUCCCGCCUGAGAUGUGGCUAGAUCUGCUGGAAAUAAACCGGCCUGCGUCAUAGAAGCCAUAAACCAAAGCAUACGGCCCAUGACCUCCUGAAAUCCCGGCGCGGACAUGAAAUCUGUUUGGGCCUGCUAAGCUGCAGGUACCUCACCCUGUUUCUCAAUGAUAGGAUCCUCCACUGGAUCCGAUGGUGGCACGACGGGAGCAACUCUAGGAUGCCCUCGUCCUCUAGCAGGAGCUGGAGCUCUUCCCCGACCUCUGCCUCGGCCUCUAGCAAUAGGGGGAGCAGCUCUACACGAAGAUUAAAAGAAUGAUACUUAGCAUAACAUCAACUGCACGAUAGGAGAUGAAGAAAGAGAAGUUUGCUAACACCCUAUAGCCUCUCGAAGAUUAGUAUAGAUGUCUCUGCACCUAUCCGCAAGACUCUAUUAGGACCGCUCAUGACUUGUGAAACAUAUAUGAACCUAGAGAUCUGAUACCAAGUUGUCACGACCAAUUUUCACUAUAGGUUGUGAUGGCGCCCAACGUCACCGCUAGGCAAGCCAAUAGUGAACUACCUAUUUAAUUUCUCAUUCUUAUAUUUUUAAAGUCUUUGACUUUUAUUUAAUGCGGAAACAAAUGGUAAAUGAGCGUGGUAAAGUAAAACAUAAGCUAAAUGGGGAAGUAAGGUAGUGAAUUAAAUAAUCAUAACCCCUGAGUGUCUACUAGAAUUCCCAAAAUCUGAUGUCACAAGUGCACGAGCAUCUAGUAGAAUAUACAAAACUCCCUAAGAACUACUGUCUGAAACAAAUUAGACAAGAAUGAUAAAAAAACAUAACAAGAGACGGCUACGGGUGCUGCAGAACGGAGCAUGGGAAAGCAGCUCACCACUAAGCUUCCGGGUAAUGCGGAUACGCGCCCGGACUAACUCCAGAUGCACCUGCCUCAGAACCUGCACACUAUAUGCAAAAGUGUAGCGUGAGUANNNNNNNNNNNNNNNNNNNNAGGAUAUAAUCUCCAUCGACAAUUAAAUAUUUUGGCAACUUUCUAAGUAAUGGGGCUCGAUUUAACUUAAUCUUCAACCAAGUUUUUACCUAUUAAUACGAGAAAUUAAACUAGCAAGUUGAGUCCAAAUAGUACAAGUAAUAGCAUAAUAAAGGCCUAUAACUACUCGGACAUAAUAUGAAUUUUAGCUACGCACGGGCUCUCGUCACUUAGUGUGUAUGUAGCACCCACAAUAUUUAGCAAAUAACAAUUAAAAUACCUAUGGGGUUAAUUCCCUCUUACAAGGUUAGGCAAGAGACUUACCUCGUUCCCAAGUCCACUUUUUGAUCCACAAAUCGCUCUAAAAGAAUCAAGUCGGUGCCAAACAAUCCGAAACUAUCCAAAGGUUGUACAAACUAAUCAAUAAUUGCUCAAAAGUUUAUAAUUUAACUAUUAGAGUGAUUACCCAACCCAAUUUGGAAAGUUCCUAAAAUUCACCGCUGGGCCUACAUGCCUGGAUUCCGAAAAUGUUUGUAAAUAAAUGUUACCCAUAUGCUCAUGAACACAAAUAUAUAAUUUUUACCCAAUUUCAUAAUCAUUUUUGUGGUCUAAUCUCAUUUUUUAUCAAAUCUAGGGUUUUCAACCAAAAUCCUAAUAUUCCCACAAUUUACAUGUUAAAAUCUGCCCAUAAUCUAUGUAUCUAACUUACAUUGUAUUGAAAUUACUUACCUUCAAUAGCUAGGUGAAAACCCCUCUCCGAGAAACUCUAAAAACGUCCCACAAUUGAGAGAAAUGAACAAAAUAGCCAAAAUCCCAACUUUAAUAAAGUCUCUGCCCAGCUGCCCCUUCUUCGCGAUCGCGAAAAGUGCUUCGCGAUCGUGAAGGAAAAGCCUGCCUAGGCCCUGAAGCUCUUCUUCACGAACGCGACAGGGUCCUCGCGAUCGCGAAGGCUAGGCCAGCCCAAGCAUUGCGAACGCGAAGAGCAAUGACCCACAGACCUCCUGGCCCCAAAUCCUUUUACGCGAACGCGACCAAGCCAUCGUGAACGCGAAUGACACAGGUCUUGAAGCUUCGCGAACGCGACCCCAUCUUCGCGAAUGCGAAGAGCAAAAACACCCAGUCCCCAAAUCCUUCAUCAUGAACGCGAGGGUCCUUUCUCAUUCGCGAAUAAAGAAACCAGAACCAGCACACCAAUAGUUUUGGACUUAGAUCCGGGCGGUCUGAAACGCACCCGAGCCCCCCGGGACCCUGUCAAAAUACACCGACAAGUCCAUAACCAUAAUACGGACCUACCCGAACCCUAAAAACACAUAAAAACAUUAAAACUACGAACCGCAACCCAAAAUCAAAUUGAAUCAACUUAUGAACUUCAACUUCUUAAAUAGCUUCAAACGCGCAGAAUUAUACUUCGACUACUCGGAAUGACACCAAAUUUUGCGUACAAUUCAUAAAUCACCAUACGGAACUAUUUCCAGGCUCAAAAUCCCAAACAGACCUCGAUAACACCAAAGUCUACUCUAAACAAAAUUUAAAGAAAUAGAAAACCUUCAAUGAACCGAUGGAACAAUACGAACCUAUUGGAACCAUCAAAUUCCGAUUCCGAGGUCGUUUACUCAAAAUGUUGACUCAAGUCAAACUUGGUCAUCAUAGGCCACUAUUAAGGAACUAAGUGUUCCGAUUUCAACCUGAACCCUUCCAAACCUAAACCAACUAUCCCCGCAAGUCAUAAAAUAUUAAAAUUAUAUACGGGAAGUCGUAAUUAGGGGAACGUGGAUCUAGAAAAUAAAUGAUCAGUCGGGUCGUUACAUUUAUACUCUAAGAUUCACUCACAAAAGCUUACAAUUUUCAGCUUACUAUUAAGUGUUCAGCUACUAUCUUUUACUCUCAAAGUUUUAUGUUUUUCUUAGAGUGAAUGAUAUGUCUAAGUGUGUGUGUGUAUAGUGAGGAAAGAACCAUCCCUUAAGUAGGCAAAGAAGGGCACUUUUUGGACAGAUUUUGGUCCACAAAAAAUCUGUCCAAAAAGGACUAAUUGUGUGCAAACACUGUUCAAAGGGCUGUCCAAAAGGUGAAAGGACAGUUUGAAAAUCUGUUGUAGUAGAGGCAAGGAGGAAAAAGUCAUUUCAGCCACCCUACUAGCAAAAACGAAGGCUACUAGUACCUUAUAUCAUGAUUGAUUUAAUCUAAACUUCAUCUUUAAACCAACACCAAUCUACUUGCUCAAAACAAAUAAAAAAUAGAAAUAUGACCUAACUAGACUUAACAAUUUGAACUAUUAAUCAACAAGAGAAGUCGGAACUUAACAAAAUUAAAGCCAAGCUAAAUGCUUAUUAAAUAGUGAAGCAAUUAGAAAAUUAACUAAUCAAAGAAGAAAUCAGAAAUACUAAACAUGAAUUAGUCGGAACUUAAAACCAAACAAACUACAAUCAAACUCAAAGGGAAAAACAUAAACAAAAUUGCUAGAAGCCUUCAAUCUGAUUUAGACAACUAAUUAUACUAUUCGAAAAUGACUUAAACAAACAAACAACUAAACCGACAAAUAGUUAUGCCGACAUGCUGAAGCCUGAAAGUUUAGUUAAUAAGUACGACUAAUUAACCAUGAUUUAAAAAUGAUAAUUAGAAGCUAAAAAGUUAUAAACUUGAAACUAAAACUAAUUUCAGAGCUAAGCCAAAUGCAUGUUAACAGUGGGGUAAAACUAAUGAAACCGAUUAAGUUAAGCAAAGACAAAAAUCAAAAAAUAGAUUAAAUACGACCUAGACAAUUAUUAACAGAAUUUAAACUUAGAAUACAACGAGAAAGAGAUUAGGAUUUAUACCAACAAGGGAACAAUGUUAACUCGAACAACAAGAACGGGUCGUGGAUGCCGAGAAAAGGCAGUACGAGCAAGCUUCGAUUGUUGAUACUCAUAGAAACCACGGAAUCCGAUGAAUCAAAGUUUAGCUUUCAUGGCAUCAACAAUACAACCUUGUUCGGAGCCGGUGCGGAGGUGAAAGUAUGAGACAGUGGCGAUUUCGGGUUGGAGAUAAGAAAAUAAGAGGAAGAGAGAAGGAGAAGAGUAUAAACUUUAGAGAGUUGAGGCCACUGAUCGGCGGUGGAGCAGCGGCGGCAGUUAGGUGGUCGGCGGUGGUGGACGGCUUUUGGGGGAUGAAAUGGGUAGAAAAGGAUAGAUCUCGAGGAGAUCUAUCCGUGUAUGUAUGUAUUACGUGGUGUGGAAGGUUAGAACUCGCCGUAUUUUAGGGUGGCGGCGGCUAGGGUUUUUCGAAUUUAGAUAGAUUUGGUGAGAUUGGGGGUGAUUUCGGGGAUUUGGGGUUGGGAUAAGGGUAGAGGAUAAGGAGAGGAGAAGAUUGGUGUAAUUGGGGGGUGUUUGGAGGUUAGCCGCCGCCGGUGGGCAAUUUACGGCAGUGGAACAGGGCGGAGGGACGAGAGACAGUGAAGAGAGAAGGAGAAGAGAAGAGACUAGGGCAAAAAUAUGGUAAUUGGGGUUUUAAAUAUUAGAAGGGAGAUUGAAUGGUGGCCUUUGGAUCAUGAGAAAAUUGAUAAGUGAGAUUGAAUCUUGAGGCUACUAAGCGAAACGACGUAGUUUAAUGUCCUAACUAUGUCGUUUAGUUCUGCUCUCAGAUCACUUGGCUGGAGGGGUACUAGGCUCGAUUUUGUAGGCUUUUGGCCCAAUUCGGCUAAACAAAGCAUCAACCCAAUCCCUUAAACCCCUAACAAAACUAUUUAAUAAUCUAAUUCUAAAGUCUAUAAACACACACAAUAAACCUAGAAAAAAAUAUAAUAUAGGAGAAGUAGAAAGAGCAGAAAUUAGAUAUUUACGCAAAGUAGCACAUCUUUUUUGCUUUCUUGAUUAAAUUUAUGUACCACAAUUAGGAUCUUGGGAUAUUUUCAGUACCGACAGUAGUUCCCCCCCCCCCCCCAAGGCAAUUGGAGUAACUCCUGCAUCCAUUGAUUUUGCACCUUCUAACAUCUCGAUAACGUAACAUACUUUUUUUGCUUCUUUUUUUUUAAGUACGACAAUUGGGAUCUCGUUCAUUGAAAGAAAAAAAAACGAACGAGAAAAAAAAUUAGAGUCUUAUUGAAGAAUUGAAGCUUAUUUGCUUUGUUAAAAGAAGAUGUCAAUAAACUCCGGUGAAUGGUUUCAUGGGAUUCAGCCUCCUUUUCCAAAAGCUAUAAGUUUAUUACCCCCACUAAGUUAUAGGAACUUCUAAUUAUAUAGCAGUAGAAGGUCUGUAUAUUUAUCCAAUUCAUCCCAUUUUUUCUCCUUAAUAGUAGAGUACACUAUAAAGAGAGUGAAGGGUGUUUGAACAAAAUCUUCGCCUAUUUCAGGACAAUGAAAGCUAGCAAUCAGUGAAUCAAGGCUAGUUCCCAAUAGCAAGUUGUGGAGUAUUACUAAAAUAAUGGUGAAUGACGAGCUUGUCUACCUAAUGUUUUUUGGGGAUUAGAAAUUUUGGGGUAUGGAUGCAUUUGGAACUUCUUGAAAACCUGUAUAAAAGACAAGAAAGUGACCACAAGACUAGAGAACAAAUUGUUCAAUUUCCAUCUUUUAAUUUAUUAAACCAGACACCACAUAACAUAUUCACAUUUAGAGUGUACAACACAUUGUUCUCCCAUUAACAAAUCUAAACCUCAAAACAGAUGCAAAACAAGAAAAGAAACACAGAAAAGCAUAAAUGUAAACUGACAGCCCAUGUACCAACUUUCUGCCCUUGUCAAUCUGCACACUGGAGCAGGAGGCAACAACAAAAAUGAAGAGAAAAUGAUGAUGGAAUCUCA
rnacentral:lncRNA from 1 species